rnacentral:rRNA from 1 species
UGGGGAAUUUUGGACAAUGGGCGCAAGCCUGAUCCGGCCAUUCCGCGUGCAGGAUGAAGGCCCUCGGGUUGUAAACUGCUUUUGUACGGAACGAAAAGGCUUUCUCUAAUACAGAGAGCUCAUGACGGUACCGUAAGAAUAAGCACCGGCUAACUACGUGCCAGCAGCCGCGGUAAUACGUAGGGUGCAAGCGUUAAUCGGAAUUACUGGGCGUAAAGCGUGCGCAGGCGGUGAUGUAAGACAGGUGUGAAAUCCCCGGGCUUAACCUGGGAACUGCAUUUGUGACUGCAUCGCUGGAGUGCGGCAGAGGGGGAUGGAAUUCCGCGUGUAGCAGUGAAAUGCGUAGAUAUGCGGAGGAACACCGAUGGCGAAGGCAAUCCCCUGGGCCUGCACUGACGCUCAUGCACGAAAGCGUGGGGAGCAAACAGGAUUAGAUACCCUGGUAGUCCACGCCCUAAACGAUGUCAACUGGUUGUUGGGUCUU